GGCCGGCACGGGGGCGGCCCCGGCCCCGCGGGGUGCCCAUCGUCCCGCGGCCCUGACCGGGCUGGAGGGCGGCUCCAGGAGGCUUGGCCGGAGCCCAACACGUGUCUUUGUUCAACCCAGACAUCCCCCGCGUACCGCGGCGGAAUCACCGCCCCCUGCGGCACCGCAGCCGCGCCUGCCUGCCCGGGUCUCAUACCCCCUGCAGCCUCCCGGCUCCCGGCCGCACCACACCUGACCCUCGGACUCGACCGCAGCCCCUGGCGGGGCAUCACGGCAUCCCCCUCCCCGCGGCAUCGCUCCGGCCCCCAGCUCUCUCACUCCCGGGGUAUCCAGGGGCAGCAGCACCGGAAUUCAGGCCUCACCAAAGUCUCAUCUGCAUUGAUGAACUGAGCAGAAUCAUAAAGAAAAGUCAAACCAAACAAAUCAGGAGCCAGAAGCUAUACAAGUUUGUGUCAGUUUAACCCCUACCUUAGUUUAUACCAUGUUAAAAUCUUUAUAGUAUUGCAAGAGAACAGCUAAAUGUUGAAGUAUGCUUCCCUUUUUUUAUAUGAAGAAUAUUGUUGUCCUGUUUUGUGUACUCUAUACAAUGAUCUUUAAAUCAUAUUAAAUAUCUUGGUUUUUUGA